rnacentral:rRNA from 1 species
UACGUAGGGUGCGAGCGUUAAUCGGAAUUACUGGGCGUAAAGCGUGCGCAGGCGGUUUCGUAAGACAGGUGUGAAAUCCCCGGGCUUAACCUGGGAACUGCGCUUGUGACUGCGAGGCUGGAGUGCGGCAGAGGGAGGUGGAAUUCCACGUGUAGCAGUGAAAUGCGUAGAGAUGUGGAGGAACACCGAUGGCGAAGGCAGCCUCCUGGGCUAGCACUGACGCUCAUGCACGAAAGCGUGGGGAGCAAACAGG